rnacentral:rRNA from 1 species
GAUGAACGCUGGCGGCGUGCCUAAUACAUGCAAGUCGAGCGAACAGACGAGGAGCUUGCUCCUCUGACGUUAGCGGCGGACGGGUGAGUAACACGUGGAUAACCUACCUAUAAGACUGGGAUAACUUCGGGAAACCGGAGCUAAUACCGGAUAAUAUAUUGAACCGCAUGGUUCAAUAGUGAAAGACGGUUUUGCUGUCACUUAUAGAUGGAUCCGCGCCGCAUUAGCUAGUUGGUAAGGUGACGGCUUACCAAGGCAACGAUGCGUAGCCGACCUGAGAGGGUGAUCGGCCACACUGGAACUGAGACACGGUCCAGACUCCUACGGGAGGCAGCAGUAGGGAAUCUUCCGCAAUGGGCGAAAGCCUGACGGAGCAACGCCGCGUGAGUGAUGAAGGUCUUCGGAUCGUAAAACUCUGUUAUUAGGGAAGAACAAAUGUGUAAGUAACUGUGCACGUCUUGACGGUACCUAAUCAGAAAGCCACGGCUAACUACGUG